AUUAAAAACCAAUGCCCUUCGGGGCUCUCUGGUGAUUCAUAACAACUUCUCGAAUCGCACGGCCUUGUGCCGGCGAUGGUUCAUUCAAAUUUCUACCCUAUCAACUUUCGACGGCUGGGUCUUGGCCAGCCGUGGUGACAACGGGUAACGGAGGGUUAGGGCUCGACCCCGGAGAAGGAGCCUGAGAAACGGCUACUACAUCCAAGGAAGGCAGCAGGCGCGCAAAUUACCCAAUCCCGACACGGGGAGGUAGUGACAAUAAAUACUGAUACAGGGCUCUUUCGGGUCUUGUAAUUGGAAUGAGUACAAUUUAAAUCCCUUAACGAGGAACAAUUGGAGGGCAAGUCUGGUGCCAGCAGCCGCGGUAAUUCCAGCUCCAAUAGCGUAUAUUAAAGUUGUUGAGGUUAAAAAGCUCGUAGUUGAACCUUGGGCCUAGCCGGCCGGUCCGCCUCACCGCGUGCACUGGCUCGGCUGGGUCUUUCCUUCUGGAGAACCGCAUGCCCUUCACUGGGGUGUGCC
rnacentral:rRNA from 1 species